rnacentral:rRNA from 1 species
GUGGGGAAUAUUGGACAAUGGGCGAAAGCCUGAUCCAGCCAUGCCGCGUGUGUGAAGAAGGUCUUCGGAUUGUAAAGCACUUUAAGUUGGGAGGAAGGGCAGUAAGUUAAUACCUUGCUGUUUUGACGUUACCAACAGAAUAAGCACCGGCUAACUUCGUGCCAGCAGCCGCGGUAAUACGAAGGGUGCAAGCGUUAAUCGGAAUUACUGGGCGUAAAGCGCGCGUAGGUGGUUCAGCAAGUUGGAGGUGAAAUCCCCGGGCUCAACCUGGGAACUGCCUCCAAAACUACUGAGCUAGAGUACGGUAGAGGGUAGUGGAAUUUCCUGUGUAGCGGUGAAAUGCGUAGAUAUAGGAAGGAACACCAGUGGCGAAGGCGACUACCUGGACUGAUACUGACACUGAGGUGCGAAAGCGUGGGGAGCAAACAGGAUUAGAUACCCUUGAGUCC